ACCUGUUUUUUUUUUUUAAAUGUGGAAUUAUGAGAGAAGACAUUUUAGAGAUAACUAAAUGCAAAAAAUAAAUCUGGGGCAUGAGGUGCCCCACUCCGUAGGGAAUAUGAAAACUGAACUGCCAAUGGCAGUGGUGAGUCUGUGACCCUCCUUUCAGGUGUCCUCAACAAUGACACCCCUCAUUGUGACAGACGUAGAGGCUUUCUGGAAGCCAGAGCCCUGGUUUGUGGUAGUGCUGACAGCAACUGGUGCAGUUCUCCUCCUGGCUCUGGGUUGGCUCCUCGGCAGGAUCCUUCGGAGGUUGGCCCAGUCACUACAGGCACCGAGCAAACCAGCCAGAGCUCAGUUGUUAAACAGCAUCCAGGGAAGUAGAGGCUCCAUUGAGAGGCAAAUGGAGGCACCAAGCAUGGAGAUGUCCAAGCAACAUUUUGAUGGCAGAGCCCAAGAUGUCUGUACGGGGAGAGAUUACCUGUUCAGCACACUCACGGGAGCCCGGCGUUGGCUGUGAGGCCAAGUAGCUGCUUUACUCUGUGGGGAAUUCCCUUUUCUCAUGAUCAUAGCCUGGAUUUCCAAAUCGAUUUAGUAAUAAAGACUACCAACAGAA
rnacentral:lncRNA from 1 species